rnacentral:rRNA from 1 species
UACAGAGGCCUCAAGCGUUGUUCGGAUUCAUUGGGCGUAAAGGGUGCGUAGGCGGCGCGGUAAGUCGGGUGUGAAAUCUCGGAGCUUAACUCCGAAACUGCAUUCGAUACUGCCGUGCUUGAGGACUGGAGAGGAGACUGGAAUUUACGGUGUAGCGGUGAAAUGCGUAGAUAUCGUAAGGAAGACCAGUGGCGAAGGCGGGUCUCUGGACAGUUCCUGACGCUGAGGCACGAAGGCCAGGGGAGCAAACAGG